rnacentral:rRNA from 1 species
UACGUAGGGUGCAAGCGUUGUCCGGAAUUAUUGGGCGUAAAGGGCUCGUAGGCGGUCCAUCGCGUCGGGAGUGAAAAGCUGGGGCUUAACCCCAGUCCUGCUUCCGAUACGGGUGGACUAGAGGUAGGCAGGGGAGAACGGAAUUCCUGGUGUAGCGGUGAAAUGCGCAGAUAUCAGGAGGAACACCGGUGGCGAAGGCGGCUUCCUGGUCCAGCACCGACGUUCAGGCACGAAAGCGUGGGGAGCAAACAGG